UGUUAGGUUAGGUGUGGUUAAGUUAUGUAAAAAGUCACUAAAAAUUGAUUGCAUCAUGUUCAAUAUAUACAAUCCUGAAACAGCAGUGGUAAGUCAACUUCUUAUAUUAUAUCAGGGUGGCGUUGUUAUUGAAAUCUGCCUCACUUAAUUUGCAGAGAAUGUUUAUUAUGUACAUUUUACAAAAUUCAGAUGGAUUAAAAUGAAAUUUUAUUUUUUACAGGUGAAGAUAUUGUUGAACUAUUAUACACCAAGUAUUCUGAAUGUUGAGACUAAGAAUUCUGUUGGGUAGAUACUUGAAACAGCCAUAGAUAUUUAGUCAGGU
rnacentral:lncRNA from 1 species